rfam:Spinacia oleracea cultivar SynViroflay scaffold5771.con0002.1, whole genome shotgun sequence.
AGUCUAUUAAGCUCAACUGGUAGAGCUAUUAUGCAAUUGCAUAAUGGUGUAGGUUCGAAUCCUACAUAGACUA